UCAUAAAAAAUAGCAACAUGUGGGAUGUAUUGCAGCAUGUUGUCAAUGAGUGUCAUUUAUGAGAAGCUUUCACCUUUAAUUACCUAUGUGAUGUGUGUGUGACAUCAAACCUGUCAAAAAGGUUUAUCCCAUAUGUUGGCAGCUGCCCUAGAUAUCAGGUCAAUCCAUCCAUCUGAUGGGAUGCACCAUAGAAAAUAUUACAGAAUCACCCAAAAACCUCCAAAGUGAAGUUUUGGGGCCCACCAGAUGAUUGAAUUGGUCUGAUUUUUUGGGGUGUCUCAUCAUGAGGUGGGGUACUGCACCUGUUGGACUUGGAUGGGUUGGAGGUCAUACACAUGCAAUGUGUGGCCCAUCACUUGACUUUGGGGGUAUGUGGGUGGCUGUACAUUGUUUACAGUGUGACCCACCUCAUCAGGAUGGCCCUACAUGGGCAUCGUAAAAAAAAAAGAAAAGAAAAAAAGAAAAAAAAAAAGAAAAAGAAAAGAAAGAAAAGAAAAAAUCCUUCUCAAGCAGGUUGAUGUUUAUGAUGUUACUGACAAGACAGCUGCAGGUGUAUGAAAGGAUUUAUCUACUGCCUUGUUGCAUGGUGCACUCAUAGCACGCCAGGUACUGUAAUUUAGGAUUAUUAGCUUCACCUGUUGUGUUUCUUGAUGAGUGUUAUAUAUUGGAUACUCAUUAACUAAUAUGCGAUCUUAUUUUUCAGUUACUUCAUGUGUGGAACCAUUCAAAUGAUUUACAUGCAGCCAUUUAUCAUUCUUGUGGAUAAAUUGAUAUCAUUAAGCAUUCAGUUUUUAAAUCAUUGUUUGCUGGUUGUACAGAUGUACACUGAUGAAGUAGCGUGAGAAGUUCUUGUCAUUCUUCUUCCCACCCCCCCUCUCUCUAGAAGGUAGAAGACGACCUGCUAAAAUGAAUGUUGCAUGUGUCCAUACCAAGCUUAUGAAAAAUGGACUAGUGGUCUAUGUAUGGAGUUGACCCGACUAGGAGGGAUUUGACACUAAAGAAGUUGGCCAUGAGAAUUCUUGGCCUCGCGUGUUCUUCAAGCGGUUGUGAGCGCAACUGGACUACAUUCGAGUCGAUUCACACGAAAAAAGAAGAAGAGGAAUUGUCUUGAUCAAAAGAAAUUCAAUGACCCGGUCUUCGUUCAAUAUCACCAGAAGCUGCAGGAAAGAUUUUAGUCUAGGCGAGAAAAGCUUGGAUUCUAUGAUCCUAUCAGCCUAUAUGAUUUGGAGGUAGAAAGCGAGUGGCUUGUGGAGACAGAUGAUCCAAUAUUUGCUGGUGAGUCCCUUAAACGGGCCUAAGUCGAAGACGCCACUUAUGGAUUGACAUCUGGUGAAUGUUCUCAAUGGCAGAGAAGAGGGGUGUGUAGUAGCAUGAGGGCUACUAGCUGUCAAGGAGAGGAAGAUGAUAUUGAGAUUGAAGAAGUACAAGACCAUUAGAUAUGGAUGGGCAAUUUGUAUAUACAGAUAAUGAAGAAAGAGAAGAAGAUGAAGUGUACGUUGAAGAAGGAGAUGAAUCUGACGACGACGACGAUGAUGGUGGUGAUGUGCCACAAUGGGAGAGGGAACAUUGUAUAUGGUAAAUUAGUAGUUUCUAGAUUUUGUUUACCAAUAAAAUUAUUAUAUUUUUAUUAAUAAGUUGUUGAGUGAUUAAUUUUUGGUUUUUUACUUCUUCUAGUUAAUGGUUUAUUUACUUAUUAGUUAUUAUAACUUAGGUGGCAUAGUAAUAGUACAAAUUAGAUUGAAAAUUGAAAUAGAUAAACAAAACCAAACUGGAGUAGUUAAAGUUUGUAUGGGGAAAAAAA